rnacentral:rRNA from 1 species
AGAGUUUGAUCAUGGCUCAGGAUGAACGCUAGCGGCAGGCCUAAUACAUGCAAGUCGAACGGUGUAGCAAUACAUAGUGGCGCACGGGUGCGUAACACGUAUGCAACCUACCUUAUACUGGGGGAUAGCCUUUGGAAACGGAGAUUAAUACCCCAUAGUACAUUUGAUUGGCAUCAAUUAAAUGUUAAAGAUUUAUCGGUAUAAGCUGGGCAUGCGUCCAAUUAGUUAGUUGGUGAGGUAAUGGCUCACCAAGACUUUGAUUGGUAGGGGAACUGAGAGGUUAAUCCCCCACACUGGCACUGAGAUACGGGCCAGACUCCUACGGGAGGCAGCAGUAGGGAAUAUUGGGCAAUGGAGGCAACUCUGACCCAGCCAUGCCGCGUGCAGGAAGAAGGCGUUAUGCGUUGUAAACUGCUUUUAUAUAGGAAGAAAUAGUCCUUGCGAGGAAAGUUGACGGUACUAUAGAAUAG